GCGGGUAUAGCUCAAUGGCAGAGCACAUGCUUAGCAUGCAUAAGGUCCUGAGUUCAAUCCCCAGUACCUUCA
rnacentral:tRNA from 1 species